rnacentral:rRNA from 1 species
CGGAUGCGUGACUCGUGUGCAAUCUUCCUUUCGGUAGGGAUAGACCCGUUCAUUUGGAUUAACACCUCAUACUAUAUUGCUCUCGCAUGAAAUCAUUAAUAUUCAUUUCUCGCUGAAUCAUAAGCAUGCAUCCCAUAAUAUAUAUGUGGAGGUAACAGCUUACCCCGACUACAAUGGGUAGGGGUCCUGAGAGGGAGAUCCCCCACACUGGUACUGUGACACGGACCACACUCCUACGGGAGGCAGCAGUGUGGAAUAUUGGACAAUGGGCGCAAACCUGAUAUCCCCAUGCCGCGUGUGUGAUGACAGUCCUAUGGAUUGUAAACUGCUUUUAUACUGGGAGAAACGCUGGUUCGUGAACCAGCUUGACGGUGAGUAUACAAUAAGGAUCGGCUAACUCCGUGCCUGUGCCGCGGUAAUACGGAGGAUCCAAGGUUUAUCCGGAAUCAUUGAUUUUAAAGGGUCCGUAGGCGGUCAGAUAAUUCAUUGGUGAAAGCCCAUCUCUCAACGGUGGAACGGCCAUUGAUACUGUCUGACUUGAAUUAUUAGUAAGUAACAAGAAUAUGUAAUGUACCGUUGAAAUGCUUAAAGAUUACAUGGAAUACCGAUUGCCAAUGCCGGUUGCUAC